rnacentral:rRNA from 1 species
UACGUAGGGGGCGAGCGUUGUCCGGAUUUAUUGGGCGUAAAGAGCGUGUAGGCGGCCAGGUAGGUCUGCUGUGAAAACUCGAGGCUCAACCUCGAGACGCCGAUGGAAACCAUCUGGCUAGAGUCCGGAAGAGGAGAGUGGAAUUCCCGGUGUAGCGGUGAAAUGCGCAGAUAUCGGGAAGAACACCCGUGGCUAAGGCGGCUCGCUAGGACGGUACUGACGCUGAGACGCGAAAGCGUGGGGAGCAAACAGG